CGUGUAGGCGGUUAUCCAAGUCGGGUGUGAAAGCCUUGAGCUUAACUCAAGAAAUGCAUUCGGUACUGGGUGACUAGAGGACCGGAGAGGAUAGUGGAAUUCCCAGUGUAGUGGUGAAAUACGUAGAGAUUGGGAAGAACACCAGUGGCGAAGGCGGCUAUCUGGACGGUUUCUGACGCUAAGACGCGAAAGCGUGGGGAGCAAACA
rnacentral:rRNA from 1 species